rnacentral:rRNA from 1 species
GACGAACGCUGGCGGCGUGCUUAACACAUGCAAGUCGAACGGAAAGGCCUGCUUUCCCUUGUGGAUUGCGGGUACUCGAGUGGCGAACGGGUGAGUAACACGUGAGUGAUCUGCCCCCAACUUGGGUAUAAGCCUGGGAAACUGGGUCUAAUUCCCGAUAGGACUGCAGGGUGGUGCCUGUGGUGGAAAACGAUUUUCUAGUGGUUGGGGAUGAGCUCGCGGCCUAUCAGCUUGUUGGUGGGGUAAUGGCCUACCAAGGCGGCGACGGGUAGCCGGCCUGAGAGUGUGGACGGCCACAUUGGGACUGAGAUACGGCCCAGACUCCUACGGGAGGCAGCAGUGGGGAAUAUUGCACAAUGGGCGGAAGCCUGAUGCAGCGACGCCGCGUGGGGGAUGACGGCCUUCGGGUUGUAAACUCCUUUCGACCGCGAGGAAGCCACCUGGUUGGAAGGGUGGUGACGGUAGUGGUAGAAGAAGCACCGGCUAACUACGUG